rnacentral:rRNA from 1 species
GAUGAACGCUAGCGGCAGGCCUAAUACAUGCAAGACGAACGGUAAGUUGAGUAGCAAUACUUAGCCAAGAGUGUCGUACGGGUGCGUAACACGUAUGCAACCUACCCUAUACAGGAGGAUAGCCUAGGGAAACCUGGAUUAUCCCUUCAUAGUAUUAUUGGAUGGCAUCAUUUGAUAAUUAAAACUGAGGUGGUAUAGGAUGGGCAUGCGUCUGAUUAGUUAGUUGGCGGGGUAAUGGCCCACCAAGACGAUGAUCAGUAGGGGUUCUGAGAGGAAGAUCCCCCACACUGGCACUGAGAUACGGGCCAGACUCCUACGGGAGGCAGCAGUAGGGAAUAUUGGUCAAUGGAUGCAAGUCUGAACCAGCCAUGCCGCGUGCAGGAAGAAGGCCUUCUGGGUUGUAAACUGCUUUUGCCAGGGGAUAAAUUUCCAUGCGUGGAAAACUGAAGGUACCUGGUGAAUAAGCCACGGCUAACUACGUGCCAGCAGCCGCGGU